UUGCAAAUUCUAAGUCACCUUCCAUCCUCUCUCUCUUCUCCCCUCUCAUUUUCCGGUCUCCUUCUUCUCUGCAUUUUCGAUUCCUCUACUCUUCUUUUCCAACGGGUAAUCUCCGUCCUUCCUUUUGUUUACUUCUCUCAAUCUGCCGGAGGUGGAGCCUUUUCAGAGCGAUUCUUCGGCCUAAAGAACCGAUCCAACAGUGUGGAUGGAGUUGCAUCGUUGAUCUUCUCGCUGAGAGAACGAGAAUGAAAUUACCUGGAUGAGUCCAAGCCUUCCGACCUCCUGCAGAGGAAACCACUCGGAUGGUGAAAGAUACAAUUGGGGGAUUGUCCCUUGUUAAGCUCGAUAUCUCUGGGGAUCGGAUUUGCGGUAGGUGCAGGAAGCUAGAUUCUCGAUCCUCCAUUGCGCGAGACGGGAUGUGGUUUCUACUCUGUAUGCUGAGUCACUCAUCCUAGCGAACGCUAGGGCUGCGGUGAUUUCAUGGAUGCAACCGAAGAUGCCGUCGAGGAAGUGCUCUCCGGACUUCCCCAGCAUUUGGCUUCGAGGCGUGGUCUUUGCUCCUUCAAAGCAAAGCAUCUAUUUCAAUCCUUUGUUGGGAUUUAUUCGUAAUUUCGCAUGGAGGAGUCGAUUGUUGGUGAAUCAAGGAAGCACAAGAAAUAAGAAAAACCCACUCUGCAUUCAUGGACCCCAGUCAGUCAUGGAGGAAGAGAGAUAGAGUUUGCUCAAGUUUAGAUGUAACCAAACACAGAGAAAGCCACAACAUGAAUUACGUAUGAAGAAGAAAGGUAUCAGAAAGUGGGGCAUCGAAGAGGGAAUCCUAUGGAAUCCAGAACAGGUUAUUGAAUGGCCCAUAUGAUGUGAUAUGAUCUCAUCUAACCUCAUCUCAUCCAUUGCUCAUUGGCUUCUGACCACUUCUGUUCUGUCAAAUCAAAUGGCACACUGUGUGAGCAUCUUCGAAGGACGUGUUCUUUUCAUUCUCUGUAAAGACAAGAGCCCCAUAUAUGGAUGAUGACGUCAGUUGAUGAGGCCAUAGAAUCAAGUGACGGUUAGUUAGAUUUCUACAAUUAAGUUGUAGUCUAGAUGUUAGGGCGUGUCAAUCGUUCUAACUUUUGAUUAGAGAGGUUUUUUUUCCUUCUUUUUAACCUUGUUAUUUCUACAGUGCCACUAUUAAACUUUUAAUAAAUUUAUGAACAUUUUAAC